UGGGGAAUAUUGCACAAUGGGCGCAAGCCUGAUGCAGCCAUGCCGCGUGUGUGAUGAAGGCCUUAGGGUUGUAAAACACUUUCAUCGGUGAAGAUAAUGACGGUAGCCGAAGAAGAAGCCCCGGCUAACUCCGUG
rnacentral:rRNA from 1 species